CAGUAGCCGCGGUAAUACGGAGGGUGCAAGCGUUAAUCGGAAUUACUGGGCGUAAAGCGCACGCAGGCGGUUUGUUAAGUCAGAUGUGAAAUCCCCGAGCUUAACUUGGGAACUGCAUUUGAAACUGGCAAGCUAGAGUCUUGUAGAGGGGGGUAGAAUUCCAGGUGUAGCGGUGAAAUGCGUAGAGAUCUGGAGGAAUACCGGUGGCGAAGGCGGCCCCCUGGACAAAGACUGACGCUCAGGUGCGAAAGCGUGGGGAGCAAACAGGAUUAGAUACCCCCGUAGUCACUGUCUCUUAUAC
rnacentral:rRNA from 1 species